UUAGUGUUGCCAUGGAGACAUGUUUUCUAGCAGUGCCUGCAUCACAAAACUGCAGAGUUAUUUCUCAUCUGCAGCUGAAUGCCUAGAUACAGAGGAGAGUCAUGUCCAUAGCAGGGCACACCCCUGAAGGGGACACAGCUAUUGCAACAAGGAUAUUCCCCAAGGCCUUUCCAUGAACAGUUCUCAAAGGUCCAUUUGGACCUAAGAAGAUGCAUGUACAGACAGUGCCAACUUGUGAACAUGCAGCAAAGUUAUUUCAGAUACUUCAUUUCUACUGCGAUGGGCCUGGCUGCAUGUUCUUGCCUGAAGGACACUGAUAGUGGGGAUAUCUGCCAAAGGUGCCUUUAUAAACCCAGCUAAAUUUAGAACUGCCUGGAAAUUCCUUCAUCUCUUGUGAGUUCAGUUUUGUGAUGGCCGUUGAGUUCUACAUCCAUAUAUGGUGGCCAUUUACACAGGACUGCAGCACCUGACCGUACUUCCUCCAUCCUGGGCUCCUCCGGCAGUGAACAUCACAGGGAAUAAGAGAGAGAGUGGUGAUGGAGGACGGGGUUGUGGCAGACUCUUGAUUUAGCCUUCUAAAUAGCUUUCCAGGCUGCCCAUCGUUACGGCUACCAUCUUCAUCCAACCUCCAAUCAUCUCUUACCUAAACAACUAUAUUUGCCACUCCUCAACUAGGGACAUAUGCAAAAAACAGGUCCUCCCAGGACUUCUGUGCCAGUCACGAACUGAGGGGUAGGCCCAGGAAUCUGAAGUGAGGAAAGGCAGAGUGGGAGAAGAAAGGCCUCUUUGUACUCCAGGUCACUCCUAUGGACAGCUAGCAUCUGCUUGGGACCUUCGGAGGAGCAUGAACACGCUGGUCCUGUUCAUUGCCAUCAGUUCCCAUUCUCUGCUGGCUGAAGACUGCUCUGGGAAGUGCAAGUCUCCCUGCACAUCCAUCCUGUCCCCGUACAAGAGCCACAGAGCUGCCUGAAGCGGUGUGGUUGAAGGUGUGUGGUAAGAAGUGCUGGAGCCCCGAGGUGAGUCCUCUCCCACCCCUGAAACGUGAUUCGAUCAGUGGUGGAUGAGAAAGGCCCGUUUCCAUAACAGCUCCACUGUGAGAGAGAAAAAUCAGAAUACAAAGCAGCCUUGGAUUUUAUCUGGAAGAACCACUGGAAACAAGGGACUGUGUCUCAUCGAGGCAUGUGUUAUAGGGUGGCAGUGAAGACUCCUUCUGAUUUUGGGUUUGAAUUCUGUUUUCGUUCACAAGAGGAAAUGUGAUGUUUCUACAGAGCUGCAUGGCUUAAACAUCAUAUCCCGUGAGCAUAGGCUUAAAAAAAUAAAAAAACACACAAGGAUCCUGUGGCUAUGAGAAAGGAAUUGAGAGGAAGGAUGUAUUAUUAAAACAACCGUGGACACUGGAUAGAGUAGGAGAUGACUGAUCAAGUGGGAUGUUAGUGGUCAACAUCUCCACUAAGCAGACCUGGUAAGGUUGGAAGACUUCAUAUAUCUUGGGAGAAGAUCUUUUGUAAGAUCACUUGGGAGAAUAAACUUUUGUAAAAAUCACUUGAAGUUUCCUAAAAACUGCUUAUAUCACUAGAAUAAAAGGACCAACAACAACAAAAACAGAGAACUAUGUGAAAACAUUAAUCAUAGAAAGUUGGAAAGGCAAAGACAUUUGUGGCUGUGGAAAACUGGAAAUAAAUUUUGGUUGCCUUCCUUAAGCAAUGCCAGCUGUGGGUCUGCUCUCUCAAAGCA